rnacentral:lncRNA from 10 species
GGCAGAGGGUGGUGCUGGGGUUCCAGGAAGCCGAAGGUCCUUUCACAGAUGGACCGUUAAGCCAGCCCAGGGGACGGCAGAGCAGCCUGAGGGAGCAAGAACUGUCACCACGGUCUGCCCGCGAAGCACUGAGGUGAUGCUGGGGUUGCAGUGAGCUGUCAAACUAGAUGUGUCAGAAAUGAGAAAGGAGAUGAGAGAACAAAUUAGAAUACAGAGUGAUCGACACUUUGAUGAAGGAAGUAAGUGGAGCCUGGGGUCCAUGAAACCCACUGCCAAACCAACCCAGACAGACUCAGUGUGACAUUACAAGCAUCCUGGGUGGAACUGCAAGACAUAGUUAUUUCAAGAUUAUGAAGAGUGUGGUAGCCAAACUCCAAGAUGGCCGCAUGAUCCCUCCUCCAGGUACUCGUGCCCUUGUAUGGUAUGCUCCCACAGUCUUCCGAGGAUUCCGUUGUAUGACUGAUCGAAUACAGCAGAGGCGAUGGCAUAGGACAUCUGAGGCUACAUCAUCUAAGGGAUACACAGGAAUUCACUCCCAUCCUCCCAUGUGGCUUCUACUUUGCUCUUAAUCUCUCAGAUCUCUCACCCUGGCAGACACCAUCCACCAUGUCCUGAGGACACUCAAGCAGCUCUGUGGCCUCCUGACAAUAGCUGUUAGGUGAAACACCUUGGGUGCAGACCCUCUAGCCCCACUCCAGCCUUCAGAAGACAGCAGCCCCAGCUCACAUGGGACCCUGAGCCAGACCACCAAGCAAACCACUCCCAGAUUCCUGACCCACAGAAACU